AUGCAAGUACAAGGUGUGCAUGCAUCAAUGGCAUCUAGGAAGUGAUCGAAAGAAGAGAGGGGAAAUUGUCAAUAUUAGUUAUAAUGCAGCUCACUUUCCUUCUUUGCCUCUAUACACUCUUUAUUCUACGAUCAAAGCGUGAGUUUUCUUAACUAUCAUUUAAUUUGGUUCAUGCAUAUUUUCCUUCUUGGAUUAAAAAUCUCUUAUCAGUAUGCUACUUAACUUUCUAGUGUUUGGCUAUGAGAGAUCUGGUUUGGCAUUGGUUGAUGAGAAAUGUGAGGAAGUGUAUGAGUUACUGUAAAGUUAGUGGGUUUUAGGUAGUGUUAGUGUUAGUGUUUGGCUUAGUUAAUUGAAUUGUGUGAUAGUUGCUUUCAGCCAAAUUAUUGGCUUAGUUUUUCGAUAGUUGCUUUGAGUUGUGUGAUGCUUAAUUGGUUUUGUGAGGGGUGAACAAUGCUGAUUAUGGUGUCAUUGGUUGCUGAGAAAUGUGAGAAACUGGACAUAUACUGUUAAGUUUUUGGGUUUAGAUACUGCUAAUAUUUGGUUGAGUUGAUUGAGUUUUGGAACAUGUGCUUUGUGCCAAAUUAUUGGCUAAAGAUUUCAGAA
rnacentral:lncRNA from 1 species